GAGGGUAUAACUUGGUGGUAAAGUGCGUGCUUAGCAUGCAUGAGGUCCUGGGUUCAAUUCCCAGUACCUCCA
rnacentral:tRNA from 1 species